GCUUUAAGUCGAAGUUUUCUAGGAAGCUUCUUGAACCGACUAAUCUCAACCGGUAACCCUUCCAGGGCGUCUCCAUUUAUUUCUCUCGUUUUCCCUCUCCACUUCUUCAAUCUUUGUCAUUCAUAUCAUGAAGAGUGAGGAUUGGGGAAGUGGACGGAAAAGGAGAGAAAGAAAAAAGCCAGAACAUCGCGUGCUUGACAACAACCAAGAUCUAACGUGAAGUACUCAGAUCCCACAAAGACUAGGCGAGGAGCAUAGCCGAGCGAAGGCGCCCCUCACCAACCCAUCACUUUGUUUCUUGGACUCGCCGAUUCUCUCGCUGCGUCGACCGUCGCUGUUUGCCGAGUAGAUAAGAUGGUCAUUCUUAAUGAAGAAGGGAGAAGGAGAGUGCUGAAACUAAGGGCGAAGGCGAGAGGGAGAGGCGGCAAGGAUCUGUGCGGUAUUUGGGCUUGGCGUAAAUUGUGUUGCCCAAAAUAUUAAGAUUUUUCUAAAUUAUUAAUUUGGACUCUAAAAUUUUUUGAGUUUAUUUGAAUUGGUUCAUCGGAUGUGGGCGAAUUGCUGCCUCUACUUUGUCUCAAGGUAAUAGCUUCAUGCAAGAUUAACUUAUCAUUUCACAUGUAACUCGCGGCAUUAUUUACGGAGUGGAGAUUAUUUUGUUGUUUUUAUAAAGAAGAAUCCCUGUA